AUGCUUCGGAUUAGAGCAAAUGACUCUAAUUCGUCCACGCCUACGAAUCAGUCGACAUUUUGUACAAAUUUUACGAACGGAAGCUCUUAUUUUCAUAUUUCCGUAUCCUUUUUUAAACUAUGA
rnacentral:rRNA from 1 species